rnacentral:rRNA from 1 species
CAGCAGCCGCGGUAAUACGUAGGGGGCGAGCGUUGUCCGGAAUUACUGGGCGUAAAGGGCGUGUAGGCGGCCUGUUAAGUCAGGGGUGAAAGACCGGGGCUCAACCCCGGGGGUGCCUCUGAAACUGGCGGGCUUGAGUGCUCUAGAGGGCAGUGGAAUUCCCGGUGUAGCAGUGAAAUGCGUAGAGAUCGGGAGGAACACCAGUGGCGAAGGCGGCUGCCUGGGGAGUCACUGACGCUGAGGCGCGAAAGCUAGGGGAGCAAACAGGAUUAGAUACCCUGGUAGUCCUAGCCGUAAACGAUGAGCGCUAUGUGUGAGGGGUAUCGACCCCCCUCGUGCAGUAGCUAACGCAUUAAGCGCUCCGCCUGGGGAGUACGGCCGCAAGGUUGAAACUUAAAGGAAUUGGCGGG